rnacentral:rRNA from 1 species
AGCGAGAACCAGUCCUUCGGGACUGGGGAAAGCGGCGAACGGGUGAGUAACACGUGAGUAAUCUGCCCUCGGCACCGGGAUAGCCCGGGGAAACCCGGAUUAAUACUGGAUGGCCUUUCGAGUCUUCGGACUCGUCAGAAAAGGUGGCUUCGGCUUCCGGCUGAGGAGGAGCUCGCGGCGGAUUAGCUUGUUGGCGGGGUAAUGGCCCACCAAGGCGACGAUCCGUAGCUGGUCUGAGAGGACGAUCAGCCACACUGGGACUGAGACACGGCCCAGACUCCUACGGGAGGCAGCAGUGGGGAAUCUUGCGCAAUGGGCGAAAGCCUGACGCAGCGACGCCGCGUGCGGGAAGAAGGCCUUCGGGUUGUAAACCGCUUUCAGGAGGGACGAAGCCACUCGGGUUAAUACCCCAGAGGGUGACGGUACCUCCAGAAGAAGCCCCGGCUAACUACGUGCCAGCAGCCGCGGUAAUACGUAGGGGGCAAGCGUUGUCCGGAUUUAUUGGGCGUAAAGAGCGUGUAGGCGGCCAGGUAGGUCGGCUGUGAAAACUCGAGGCUCAACCUCGAGAUGUCGGCCGAAACCAUCUGGCUAGAGUCCGGAAGAGGAGAGUGGAAUUCCCGGGUGUAGCGGUGAAAUGCGCAAAUUUCGGGAAGAACACCCGUGGCGAAGGCGGCUCUUUGGGAACGGUACUGACGCUGAAACGCGAAAGCGUGGGGAGCGAACAGGAUUAGAUACCCUGGUAGUCCACGCCGUAAACGAUGGGGAACUAGGUGUGGGGCGGUGUCGACUCCGUCCCGUGCCGAAGCUAACGCAUUAAGU